rnacentral:rRNA from 1 species
GUUAAGCGACUAAGCGUACACGGUGGAUGCCCUGGCAGUCAGAGGCGAUGAAGGACGUGCUAAUCUGCGAUAAGCGUCGGUAAGGUGAUAUGAACCGUUAUAACCGGCGAUUUCCGAAUGGGGAAACCCAGUGUGUUUCGACACACUAUCAUUAACUGAAUCCAUAGGUUAAUGAGGCGAACCGGGGGAACUGAAACAUCUAAGUACCCCGAGGAAAAGAAAUCAACCGAGAUUCCCCCAGUAGCGGCGAGCGAACGGGGAGCAGCCCAGAGCCUGAAUCAGUGUGUGUGUUAGUGGAAGCGUCUGGAAAGGCGCGCGAUACAGGGUGACAGCCCCGUACACAAAAAUGCACAUGCUGUGAGCUCGAUGAGUAGGGCGGGACACGUGGUAUCCUGUCUGAAUAUGGGGGGACCAUCCUCCAAGGCUAAAUACUCCUGACUGACCGAUAGUGAACCAGUACCGUGAGGGAAAGGCGAAAAGAACCCCGGCGAGGGGAGUGAAAAAGAACCUGAAACCGUGUACGUACAAGCAGUGGGAGCACGCUUAGGCGUGUGACUGCGUACCUUUUGUAUAAUGGGUCAGCGACUUAUAUUCUGUAGCAAGGUUAACCGAAUAGGGGAGCCGAAGGGAAACCGAGUCUUAACUGGGCGUUAAGUUGCAGGGUAUAGACCCGAAACCCGGUGAUCUAGCCAUGGGCAGGUUGAAGGUUGGGUAACACUAACUGGAGGACCGAACCGACUAAUGUUGAAAAAUUAGCGGAUGACUUGUGGCUGGGGGUGAAAGGCCAAUCAAACCGGGAGAUAGCUGGUUCUCCCCGAAAGCUAUUUAGGUAGCGCCUCGUGAAUUCAUCUCCGGGGGUAGAGCACUGUUUCGGCAAGGGGGUCAUCCCGACUUACCAACCCGAUGCAAACUGCGAAUACCGGAGAAUGUUAUCACGGGAGACACACGGCGGGUGCUAACGUCCGUCGUGAAGAGGGAAACAACCCAGACCGCCAGCUAAGGUCCCAAAGUCAUGGUUAAGUGGGAAACGAUGUGGGAAGGCCCAGACAGCCAGGAUGUUGGCUUAGAAGCAGCCAUCAUUUAAAGAAAGCGUAAUAGCUCACUGGUCGAGUCGGCCUGCGCGGAAGAUGUAACGGGGCUAAACCAUGCACCGAAGCUGCGGCAGCGACACUAUGUGUUGUUGGGUAGGGGAGCGUUCUGUAAGCCUGUGAAGGUGUGCUGUGAGGCAUGCUGGAGGUAUCAGAAGUGCGAAUGCUGACAUAAGUAACGAUAAAGCGGGUGAAAAGCCCGCUCGCCGGAAGACCAAGGGUUCCUGUCCAACGUUAAUCGGGGCAGGGUGAGUCGACCCCUAAGGCGAGGCCGAAAGGCGUAGUCGAUGGGAAACAGGUUAAUAUUCCUGUACUUGGUGUUACUGCGAAGGGGGGACGGAGAAGGCUAUGUUGGCCGGGCGACGGUUGUCCCGGUUUAAGCGUGUAGGCUGGUUUUCCAGGCAAAUCCGGAAAAUCAAGGCUGAGGCGUGAUGACGAGGCACUACGGUGCUGAAGCAACAAAUGCCCUGCUUCCAGGAAAAGCCUCUAAGCAUCAGGUAACAUCAAAUCGUACCCCAAACCGACACAGGUGGUCAGGUAGAGAAUACCAAGGCGCUUGAGAGAACUCGGGUGAAGGAACUAGGCAAAAUGGUGCCGUAACUUCGGGAGAAGGCACGCUGAUAUGUAGGUGAAGCGACUUGCUCGUGGAGCUGAAAUCAGUCGAAGAUACCAGCUGGCUGCAACUGUUUAUUAAAAACACAGCACUGUGCAAACACGAAAGUGGACGUAUACGGUGUGACGCCUGCCCGGUGCCGGA